AGAUUGAACGCUGGCGGCAUGCCUAACACAUGCAAGUCGAACGGGAGUAGCAAUACUCUAGUGGCGGACGGGUGAGGAAUACGUAGGAAUUUGCCCUUAAGUGGGGGAUAACCCGGGGAAACCCGGAUUAAUACCGCAUGACUUCGAAAGAGCAAAGUGGGGGAUCGCAAGACCUCACGCUUUUGGAGAAGCCUACGUCGGAUUAGCUAGUUGGUGAGGUAAUGGCUCACCAAGGCGACGAUCCGUAACUGGUCUGAGAGGAUGAUCAGUCACACCGGAACUGAGACACGGUCCGGACUCCGUACGGGAGGCAGCAGGUGGGGAAUAUUGGACAAGUGGGCGCAAGCCUGAUCCAGCAAUGCCGCGUGUGUGAAGAAGGCCUUCGGGUUGUAAGACUA
rnacentral:rRNA from 1 species